UGAAUUAUGGUUUUCUCUGGGUAUAUGCCCAGUAGUGGGAUUCCUGGGUCAUAUGGUAGUUCUAUUUUUAGUUUUUUAAGGAACCUCCAUACUGUUCUCCAUAGUGGCUGUAUCAAUUUACAUUCCCACCAACAGUGCAAGAGGGUUCCCUUUUCUCCACACCCUCUCCAGCAUUUGUUGUUUGUAGAUUUUCUGAUGAUGCCCAUUCUAACUGGUGUGAGGUGAUACCUCAUUGUAGUUUUGAUUUGCACUUCUCGAAUGAUUAGUGAUGUUGAGCAUCCUUUCAUGUGUUUGUUGCCAAUCUGUAUAUGUUCUUUGGAGAAAUGUCUAUUUAGGUCUUCUGCCCAUUUUUUGACUGGGUUGUUUGGUUUUGUUUUGUUUUUUUUGUUUUUGUAACAUCUUUAUUGGGGUAUAAUUGCUUUACAAUGGUGUGUUAGUUUCUGCUUUAUAACAAACUGAAUCAGUCAUACAUAUACAUAUGUUCCCAUAUCUCUUCCCUCUUGCGUCUCCCUCCCUCCCACCCUCCCUAUCCCACCCCUCCAGGCGGUCACAAAGCACCGAGCUGAUAUCCCUGUGCUAUGCGGCUGCUUCCCACUAGCUAUCUACCUUACGUUUGGUAGUGUAUAUAUGUCCAUGCCUCUCUCUCGCUUUGUCACAGCUCACCCUUCCCCCUCCCCAUAUCCUCAAGUCCGUUCUCCAGUAGGUCUGUGUCUUUAUUCCUGUCUUACCCCUAGGUUCUUCAUGACAUUUUUUUUUUCUUAAAUUCCAUAUAUAUGUGUUAGCAUACGGUAUUUGUCUUUCUCUUUCUGACUUACUUCACUCUGUAUGACAGACUCUAGGUCCAUCCACCUCAUUACAAAUAGCUCAAUUUCGUUUCUUUUUAUGGCUGAGUAAUAUUCCAUUGUAUAUAUGUACCACAUCUUCUUUAUCCAUUCAUCCGAUGAUGGACGCUUAGGUUGCUUCCAUCUCCUGGCUAUUGUAAAUAGAGCUGCAAUGAACAUUUUGGUACAUGACUCUUUUUGAAUUAUGGUCUUCUCAGGGUAUAUGCCCAGUAGUGGGAUUGCUGGAUCAUAUGGUAGUUCUAUUUGUAGUUUUUUAAGGAACCUCCAUACUGUUCUCCAUAGUGGCUGUACCAAUUCACAUUCCCACCAGCAGUGCAGGAGUGUUCCCUUUUCUCCUGGGUUGUUUGUUUUUUUGAUAUUGAGCUGCAUGAGGUGCUUGUAAAUUUUGGAGAUUAAUCCUUUGUCAGUUGCUUCGUUUGCAAAUAUUUUCUCCCAUUCUGAGGGUUGUCUUUUCAUCUUGUUUAUGGUUUCCUUUGCUGUGCAAAAGACUUUAAGUUUCAUUAGCUCCCAUUUGUUUAUUUUUGUUUUUAUUUCCAUUUCUCUAGGAGGUGGGUCAAAAAGGAUCUUGCUGUAAUUUAUGUCAAAGAGUGUUCUUCCUAUGUUUUCCUCUAAGAGUUUUAUAGUGUCCGGUCUUACAUUUAGGUCUCCAAUCCAUUUUGAAUUUAUUUUUGUGUAUUAUGUUAGGGAGUGUUCUAGUUUCAUUCUUUUACAUGUAGCUGUCCAGUGUUCCCAGAACCACUUAUUGAAGAGACUGUCUUUUCUUCAUUGUAUAUUCUUGCCUCCUUUAUCAAAGAUAAGGUGACCAUAUAUGUGUGGGUUUAUCUCUGGGCUUUCUAUCCUGUUCCAUUGAUCUAUAGUUCUGUUUUUGUGCCAGUACCAUAUUGUCUUGAUUACUGUAGCUUUGUACAUAGUCUGAAGUCAGGGAGUCCGAUUCCUCCAGCUCCGUUUUUUUCCCUCAAGAUUGCUUUGGCUAUUCAGGGUCUUUUGUGUCUCCAUACAAAUUUAAAGAUUUUUUUGUUCUAGUUCUGUAAAAAAUGCCACUGGUAAUUUGAUAAGGAUUGCAUUGAAUCUGUAGAUUGCUUUGGGUAGUAUAGUCAUUUUCACAAUAUUGAUUCUUCCAAUCUAAGAACAAGGUAUAACUCUCCAUCUGUUUGUGUCAUAUUUGAUUUCUUUCAUCAGUGUCUUAUAGUUUUCUGAGCACAGGUCUUUUACCUCCUUUGGUAGGUUUAUUCUCAGGUAUUUUAUUCUUUUUGUUGCAGUGGUAAAUAGGAUUGUUUCCUUAAUUUCUCUUUCUGAUCUUUCAUUGUUAGUAUAUAGGAAUGCAAGAGAUUUCUGUGCAUUUUGUACAACUUUACCAAAUUCACUGAUUAGCUCUAGUAGUUUUCUGGUGGCAUCUUUAGGAUUCUCUAUGUAUAAUAUCAUGUCAUCUGCAAACAGUGACAGUUUUACUUCUUCUUUUCCAAUUUGUAUUCCUUUUAUUUCUUUUUCUUCUCUGAUUGCCAUGGCUAGGACUUCCAAAACUAUGUUGAAUAAUAGUGGUGAGAGUGGACCUCCUUGUCUUCUUCCUGAUCUUAGAGGAAAUGCUUUCACUUUUUCACUGUUGAGAAUGAUGUUUGCUGUGGGUUUGUUGUAUAUGGUCUUUAUUAUGUUGAGGUAGUUUCCCUCUAUGCCCACUUUCUGGAGAGUUUUUAUCAUCAGUCGGUGUUGAAUUUUGUCAAAAGCUUUUUCUGCAUCUAUUGAAAUGAUCAUAUGGUUUUUAUUCUUCAGUUUAUUAAUAUGGUGUAUCAUAUUGAUUGAUUUGCAUAUAUUAAAGAAUCCUUGCAUCCCUGGGGUAAAUCCCACUUGAUCAUGGUGUAUGACCCUUUUAGUGUGUUACUGGAUUCUGUUUGCUAGUAUUAUGUUGAGAAUUUUUGCAUCUAUAUUCAUCAGUGAUAUUGGUCUGUAAUUUUCCUUUCUUGUAGUAUCUUUGUCUGGUUUUGGUAUCAGGGUGAUGGUGGCCUCAUAGAAUGAGUUUGGGAGUGUUCCUUCCUCUGCUAUAUUUUGGAAGAGUUUGAGAAGGAUGGGUGUUAGCUCUUCUCUAAAUGUUUGAUAGAAUUCACCUGUGAAGCCAUCUGGUCCUGGACUUUUGUUUGUUGGAAGAUUUUUAAUCACAGUUUCAAGUUCCUACUUGUGAUUCAUCUGUUCAUAUUUUCUAUUUCUUCCUGGUUCAGUUUUGGAAGGUUCAACCUUUCUAAGAAUUUGUGCAUUGAUUCCAAGUUGUCCAUUUUAUUGGCAUAGAGGUGCUUGUAGUAGUCUCUUAUAUUGCUUUGUAUUUCUGCAGUGUCUCUUGUAACUUCUCCUUUUUCAUAUCUAAUUUUAUUAAUUUGAGUCCUCUCCCUCUUUUUCUUGAUGAGUCUGGAUAAAGGUUUAUCAAUUUUGUUUAUCUUCUCAAAGAAUCAGCUUUUAGUUUUAUUGACCUUUGCUAUUGUUUUCUUUGUUUCCAUUUCAUUUAUUUCUCCUCUGAUCUUUAUGAUUUCUUUCCUUCUACUAACUUUGGGUUUUGUUUGUUCUUCUUUCUCUAAUUGCUUUAGGUGUAAGGUUAGGUUGUUUAUUUGAUAUGUUUGUUGUUUCUUGAGGUAGGCUUGUAUAGCUAUAAACUUCCCUCUUAGAACUGCUUUUGCUGCAUCCCAUAGGUUUUGGGUCAUUGUGUUUUCAUUGUCAUUUGUUUCUAGGUAAUUUUUGAUUUCCUCUUUGAUUUCUUCCAGUGAUCUCUUGGUUAUUUAGUAAUGUAUUGUUUAGCCUCCAUGUGUUUGUGUUUUUUACGUUUUUUUCCCUGUAAUUUAUUUCUAAUCUCAUAGCGUUGUGGUCCAAAAAGAUGCUUGAUAUGAUUUCAAUUUUCUUAUAUUUACAGAGGUUUGAUUUGUGACCCAAGAUGUGAUCUGUCCUGGAGAAUGUUCCGUGUGCACUUGAGAAGAAAGUGUAAUCUGCUGUUGCGCCCCUCCUACAAUCUCAUUGCAGCUUCUCCUUUGUCUUUGGAUGUGCGGUAUCUUUUUUGGUUGCAGCAACUGAGCUACCCAGGAAAGGACUAACGUGUCCACUCCUUGACUUGUGGUCUUGACUCCCCUUCUGGCUGCAGGGGUAGAUUUGAACCAGAGAUGAGGCCUAGAGGCAUUGGGAAGAGUCGAACAAAGAAAGAAAAAGGAAGAAUGUCAGCUGCUUUCUACCUGAUGGAUUUUCUUCACUUUCAUCACAGAUGUGUGUGGGAGUGUGGGAGUCAGGUAUUCCUGGCUGAAUAUACCUGCUCCUUGGAGCUUUCUCCAUCUACUGUGCUCCAGCCUCCUGGAUCACCAACUCUUCUAGGUUCUUUCUCGUUUGUAGCUCAUCAUGUCAUAUUUAACUCCUAUACUGUGCCCAUCUCUUUUUUUUUGGCCAUGCCACGUGGCGUGUGGGGAUCUUAGUUCCCUGACCAGGGAUCCAACCCGUGCCCCCUGCAGUGGAAGCGUGAGUCCUAACCACUGGACAGCCAGAAAGUCCCCAGUAGUGCCCAUCUUGAUUCUCGACUUGUGGGUGGAUCUCCUCCGGUAGGUCUGUCCCCUCCUGUGCUACAAGUCCCAACCUCCAGCUCUGCAGUCUUGUAUUGUCAGCUACCUCCGAGUAUCUUGCGGAGUGCUCCAAGGUGCAUUAAACAGGUUUGGAGUGAAUGUGAGGUUCCCCUGCCAAACCUGCUGCCAAACUUUGUACUCCUCAGUUCUGUUAAUAGCAUUACCACCCAUGCAGUUGCCCAGCCAGGGAUCUUGGCAGUUCACCUCGACUCUUUCCUCUCCCUCCCUUCUGCCAGUUUUCCUUUUUCUUCCAUGCCAUCGCCUAUCACCCUUCAUCCUUAGUCUCCCAGCUUUUAGUCCAGUCUAUCACCAAGCAGCUCUCCUACUUGACUCCCAGCAGAGCUCCAUUCAUGGGAUAAAAACCCAAAUUUCUUGCAGGGUAGAAAAGGUUCUUCAUAGAAUAUUCCCAGCCUGCCUCUCUGGCCACAUCCCAUACCACUGCCUAAAUUACACCAGCCUUCAGCUUCUUAAUGUUCCUUGGACAAAAUAUGUUCUUGGGUUUCCCUAGUGGCGCAGUGCUUGAGAGUCCGCCUGCCGAUGCAGGGGACAGGGGUUCAUGCCCCAGUCCGGGAAGAUCCCGCAUGCCGCGGAGCAGCUAGGCCCGUGAGCCAUGGCCGCUGAGCCUGUGCGUCUGGAGCCUGUGCUCCGCAACGGGAGAGGCCACAACAGUGAGAGGACCGCGUACCGCAAAAAAAAAAAAAAAAAAAAAAAGGUGUGUUCUUUACAGCUCUGUACCGUAGUGCAUGCUGUUCUAAUACUUAGCAAUCUUCUACUCUUCCUGCAGAAUUACCUGAAUUAUCACCUCCUCCCUGAAGCCUUCCCAACUUCCCCAGGCAGUAUCUGCAACUCCCUCCUCCGUGUGCUUUGUCCAGGCCUUAAUCCUAAUCCUACUGCAAGACAGAGAAUGUAUAGUACUCUUUUUUAUAUUCCCAGAACUCUCCUUACUCAAUGCCCAGUGCAUAGUAGAUGCUCAAAACGUUGAAUGAAUUAACGAAAGAUUUGCAUUUCUUCUGUACUCCUCAUGUGUUAUACUGGCCUUCAAAUGUUGUGAAGUCACUGGGCAACACAGAGCUGUGGAUAAGAGGAGCACAGGAAACUUCCCUUUCACCGGUUUCCCUGGUUCUUCCCCUCCAGCCCUUUCCUGCUUAUCUUUCAAAUCAGCAGACCUGGGCUCCCUGGGUGGCGGUAUGCAUAAUAAAAUACCUAAGCUUUGAUUUGCCUCUGUUCUUAAUUUUCAUCCUAUUUAUUCUUUGGAAAGUUUUGAUAAAUAAGCAUGAAUUCUUUCUUGGCAUGAGGCUGCAAGUGGAGUAAGAGGAUUCUAUUACAUCUAAGAAUCAUCCGAGCAAACAGAGAGAAGGAGAGCAUCAAGAUUGUGCUGGAAGAAAAAUGGCCUUCAUGCUCUUGGAAGAGUUGCCCACCCUGAUCCUCUGGCUUUGAUCUCCAGGCUCCAUUAGAACAAGCAGAGACAAGAAGCGGGAGCAGCCUUGGCUGUGAUCUACCUACACAGGGGAGGAGGUAAUCCCCUCCAAGGGAACCUUGAGCCACGGCCCCUGCUGACCAGAGGAGACCCAGACCGAGGACUCCCUGAAGGCAGGUGCUGUGGCCACACCUCCAGAGGAAGAUCAUCACGUGGACAGAGUGGGGACAGUCUUCUUCUUCGUGUUCAAAAGUAUGGCCUGUGGAAAAGCCAACAACAAAAAGAGGCUCUGGAUUUUGUUUCUUUAUUUGUUUUCCUGACUCCUUUAAAUAACUGUAUAUAAGAUAGUGCCCAUCUUAUCAGGGAUUAUUGGUUGAAAAAUAUACGCCCUUUAAAGGCCCCCUCAUGCAGGAUAGGCAAAGGGGAAUAGAGCAAAGAGAUGGAAUGGCCUUAGGGCAAGAGGGCAGAGGUAGCUAUUGCUUGAGGGUAAAUAGGUGCUGUCUUGCUUCUCUGAAGUCCAUCACAACUAGCUUUGGGACAUGGGUUCCCCAUCAACAGUGCCAAAUUGCCCCAAACAGCUUUUGAUCAACAGAGUUAGUCAUGGACCAGUUCUCUGCAGGAUCCUCCCCACAUCCCAUCUUUCCCCAUAGAAAAGAACUACCCUUUAUUUUAAUUUCCUGAGGACAGACUCUCAGAUGACCUUUCCUAGGGGUUGGCAAACUAAUCCAAAGAAAAAAUCCCCACAAGCAUGAGACUGGGGGGAAAUAGACACCUAUAAGGGGAAAUAGAUACCUAUAAGGGGAAAUAGAUACCUAUGCAUCUCCCCCCCCCCCCCCGCAAGGGUCUCUUUUCUGGGGUCCCUGGUAUGUUAGGUUUUUGGGAAAAGAGCUUGCAGGGGCCCCUGUUGCAGCCACAACAAUGGGGGGCAUCCAGGGAAGAUGGGAGAGAGGAGGACACUUCCUCCCCUCUCUGAUAGAAGACUGAUAUCUUGCUCCUAAAAUAGAGAUAAGCAAUAUUGUAUCUCUAUACAAGAAGACAGGAGGGCUUCCCUGGUGGCGCAGUGGUUGAGAGUCCGCCUGCCGAUGCAAGGGACACGGGUUCGUGCCCUGGUCCGGGAAGAUACCACAUGCCGCGGAGCGGCUGGGCCUGUGAGCUAUGGCCUCUGAGCCUGCGUGUCCGGAGCCUGUGCUCCGCAACGGGAGAGACCACAACAGUGAGAGGCCCACGUACCACAAAAAAAAAAGACGACAGGAGAAGUAUUAGGAGGUUCUGAGGGAAGGCCAUGACGAGGAUCAGGAGACCUGGAGUCUUGUCACUCUCAUGCUGUAAAUGUGUGUGUCUUUGUGGAAUAGUUAGCCAGUUCCUUUUUCCCAGACUCAGUUUCUUCAUUUGUAAGAUGGGAGCAUUGGAUAGGAUCAGUGUUUUUCAAACCUCAAACCAAAAUUCAUUAGGAGGUUGUAAAAUCAAUUUAGAGUUUUUACCAGCAGGUUGGGUUUUUUUCAAUGAAAUAAAAUAGAUCAGAAUGUGCUGU